UGGGGAAUCUUGCACAAUGGGGGCAACCCUGAUGCAGCGACGCCGCGUGAGCGAUGAAGCCCUUCGGGGCGUAAAGCUCUUUCGACCGGAACGAUAAUGACGGUACCGGGAGAAGAAGCUGCGGCUAACUACGUGCCAGCAGCCGCGGUAAUACGUAGGCAGCAAGCGUUGUUCGGAGUUACUGGGCGUAAAGAGUGCGUAGGCGGUUUUCUAAGUUCGGUGUGAAAUCUCCCGGCUUAACUGGGAGGGUGCGCCGAAGACUGGGAAGCUGGAGUGUGGGAAUCAAACA
rnacentral:rRNA from 1 species